rnacentral:lncRNA from 1 species
GAGCCUUUCUCCUGCAGUGGAUGUGGGUGCUGCAAGACAACAGGCACCACUGUGUCCCACACCAAAAUCAAGUAUAAAAAGCUGAAGUGCCGAGAGUCGUGCCCCAGCAAACCAGCCGGUUCCUGAGAGCUUUUAGUCAGCUCAGAACUUUGAAGGGUUUCUCAGGAGAUCAAAGCUGGAGGAGUUUCGUGCCUGAGUCCCACUACAGACCUAUGAUGACAUCCGUCACAGAACCAGGAAAGAUGCAGAACCAGGAAAGAUGCAGAGCCAGGAAAGAUGCAGAGCCAGGAGGGAGCCUACAGGAGCAGCGACGUCUCAGCCUUCCUAGCUCCCGCUGGAUCCUGCGUCUCAGAUAGUGUGUAGAUAGAGCAGUUGAGGCCUGGCACUAAUCCCAUGAAUCCUUACUAA